rnacentral:rRNA from 1 species
AAUGAACGCUGGCGGCAGGCCUAACACAUGCAAGUCGAGCGCCCCGCAAGGGGAGUGGCGCACGGGUGAGUAACGCGUGGGAAUAUGCCCUUCGGUUCGGAAUAACACAGGGAAACUUGUGCUAAUACCGGAUACGAUCUACGGAUGAAAGAUUUAUCGCCGAGGGAGUAGCCCGCGUAGGAUUAGCUAGUUGGUGAGGUAAUGGCUCACCAAGGCGACGAUCCUUAGCUGGUCUGAGAGGAUGAUCAGCCACACUGGGACUGAGACACGGCCCAGACUCCUACGGGAGGCAGCAGUGGGGAAUAUUGGACAAUGGGCGAAAGCCUGAUCCAGCCAUGCCGCGUGAGUGAUGAAGGCCUUAGGGUUGUAAAGCUCUUUCGCCAGGGAAGAUAAUGACGGUACCUGGAAAAGAAGCCUCGGCUAACUCCGUGCCAGCAGCCGCCGUAAGAC